rnacentral:lncRNA from 1 species
CGUCAACAAACUCCCCUAAGCUUACCUCUUGCUCGUCCCUGAGCAAGGAUGAACUCAAGAGUUUCUGCAGUGGUUUCAUUUCUUAGAAGUACACACGCAUUUAAGCAAGACCUCAUCUCUGAGUUAGAAUAAACUGUUAAGAAUUAAAACUUACUUACUUUACCUACACCAUAGGACUUGUAACCGUCACUUCUGUCUUGAGUGGUUAAAAGAUAGAACAGUCUAGCCAAGUGCCAUGUCUCUUAUUCUUGAUCAGCUAUAGCUCUGGGGUUUUUGCAGAUUUUCAAAUAAAACUCAGAGAUUCCUUGUAUGAUUCUCUCAAAUCUCUCUUUUGUGGUAUUUCUGGAUCCUUACCAAGGCAGUAAUGGUGUAUGUCUUCUCUCAAAGUAUGUGGUAUUUUUGGUAUGAGGCAUAGUGAUAUUGUCUUCUCUCUCACCCUACUCUAAUAAGGCUUUAAUAUCUGAAGCUCAUAGGUGGGAGAUAAAGUAUACAUACUUACAAGACAUUUAUUGCAUAGUCAAACCAUGGAUCCAAAGAAACAAAUCAAUAAGCCAAAUCAAGAUGUGCAUGUGUGGCGAAUGAAUGGUGUAUGAUGAUGAUGGUGAUAACAAUGGUGGUGGAAGUCUAAUUCUACUUUGCUCUUUGAGGGGUUACAUACCUUCCUUGCUUUUGAAACUUUAUGAGGAGAAUGAGAUGCUCUUCUUUUUCUUUUCUUUCGAGGUUCCGAGCACUUGCUCCUUUUUAUUUCCUCGUAUCUUUUAUUUUUUUUUCAGAGCAUUCAUCUCUUGAGAUAAUAUAGCAAGUGGUAGUAACAAGAUAACUUGAGCAUUUAUUUCACAAGGGGAAACAGAAAUAUUUUUGGUUAUUCUCUCCCGGAUUAGGAGUAGAAUACUUUUGGGUGGUUUUGGAGAUGGAAAUGAGUGGAUAUAUGUGGAUGGUACUUCCGGAGUAGAAGUAGCAUGUAUGAGUGAACGUGCAAGUGAAUCUUGAUUUAACCACAUGACAAGCUCCUAAGGGUCUACACAGCUUGACCAUACUCAAUGCUCAUAAGCAGUAAAAAGUAAAUGUAUGGCUCAAAGUCUAAUAAGCAUGUAUAUAUGGCUGUGGUAGGAUUUUAAACUCUCAUCAUACAGGAACUCAUCAUGUGUUAUUUUAAAGAUUUUUAAAGAUAAAAUUCUCAAGAAUUCUAGCAUCUCUAGGAACAGAUAAACAGCAGCUCAACCUUCCCAUAUCGUAUCCGAUAACAACUUAGACUUC